GACGAACGCUGGCGGCGUGCCUAAUACAUGCAAGUAGAACGCUGAAGAGAGGAGCUUGCUCUUCUUGGAUGAGUUGCGAACGGGUGAGUAACGCGUAGGUAACCUGCCUUGUAGCGGGGGAUAACUAUUGGAAACGAUAGCUAAUACCGCAUAACAAUAGGUGACACAUGUCAUUUAUUUGAAAGGGGCAAUUGCUCCACUACAAGAUGGACCUGCGUUGUAUUAGCUAGUAGGUGAGGUAACGACUCACCUAGGCGACGAUACAUAGCCGACCUGAGAGGGUGAUCGGCCACACUGGGACUGAGACACGGCCCAGACUCCUACGGGAGGCAGCAGUAGGGAAUCUUCGGCAAUGGGGGCAACCCUGACCGAGCAACGCCGCGUGAGUGAAGAAGGUUUUCGGAUCGUAAAGCUCUGUUGUAAGUCAAGAACGAGUGUGAGAGUGGAAAGUUCACACUGUGACGGUAGCUUACCAGAAAGGGACGGCUAACUACGUG
rnacentral:rRNA from 1 species